ACAAAAUCGCCCAAAAAGCAGUUUUCAAAUAUUAAUUAACUUAGGAAGCCAAAUUUUCCUUUACUAGAAGUAUAUACAGUGUUCACAAUGUUUUAUACCAAAGCAGAUUUGUUUGGUUGUCGGAAACUGGGUGUUGGCUUAACCACAGCGCAAGCUAUGCCUUCCGACAAUAUGUACGAAGAAGCUGCUUUUUCUGAAGGCAGUAAUGAUACGUGACAAGUUUGCUUAAAGAUUUAAACUAAAGGAAGAUCAAACUAUUAACAGUUUUAAGAUGAAAAUCGAUUCUCAAGGGAUUCGAAAAUUUUUUUUUAAAUUUAUUGAAUAAAUAAAUACAUUUAAGAAGACGAGGGUAUGACUUUGAAGCUUUUGAGCUGUAAUUUGUAAUUAAAUAUACAUAUUUUUUUCAAUUUGUUUAAAUUCGUUCAUCAUGUUAAGUCCUUUAUACAGUUUAUUUCUUUUAUACUUCAAAAAUUUAUUUCCUAAAUUUGAUUUUGCCAAUUGUGCAACUUUUUACAUUACUGUUCGCGAUGUAAACAUUUAAGAUUAAAAUUUUUUUUAAUUUUAAUUUAUACAAAGAAAAUUUGCUUUAAUGUCGCUAUUCGAAUUUAUGAACAAAUUUUUUCUCUUUACUUACAGAUUAUUUUUUGGUUUCCAACUUAUACAAUUUAGGUACUAUUAAAAAAUAAAAAAUAAAGGAUAAAGCUUUAUUUAACACCUAGUAACUACGUUAGUACAACUUUCUUUCUUAUUACAUGCAUACGUCUAAUUAUUUACCCAAACAUUUGGUAACCUCCUAACCUGCCUUUGUGGAGAAGUGACUUGACUGCUUUGCUAUACAAACUAGCGAAAGUAUUACCUUUUUUAAAAAUCAUUAAUGCUCCAUUACGUUAAUUCAGAGAUAGUGUAUAAUUGUAGCAUAACACUGGAUCAGAUUAUUGUAGCAAUACGUUAAGUGGGGGGAUUGGAUUCAGCAGUUGCAUUUGAUUAGAGGUUUGUAAUCUGGGUUUAGU